rnacentral:rRNA from 1 species
ACGCACGCUGGCGGCGUGCUUCACCCCUGCAAGUCGAACGGUGAAGGGGUCUGCUUUUGUGGGCCCUGGAUGAGUGGCGAACGGGUGAGUAACACGUGAGUAACCUGCCCCCUUCUUCUGGAUAACCGCAUGAAAGUGUGGCUAAUACGGGAUAUUCUGGGUCUGUCGCAUGAUGGGUCUGGGAAAGAUUGCGCCUUUGGGUGUUUUUGGUGGGGGAUGGGCUCGCGGCCUAUCAGCUUGUUGGUGGGGUGAUGGCCUACCAAGGCGGUGACGGGUAGCCGGCCUGAGAGGGUGGACGGUCACACUGGGACUGAGACACGGCCCAGACUCCUACGGGAGGCAGCAGUGGGGAAUAUUGCACAAUGGGCGCAAGCCUGAUGCAGCGACGCCGCGUGAGGGAUGGAGGCCUUCGGGUUGUAAACCUCUUUCGCCAGUGAAGCAGGCCUGCUCCUUGUGGGUGGGUUGACGGUAGCUGGAUAAGAAGCGCCGGCUAACUACGUG